UUCAACUGUGAUAUUCGUGCUGAGUUACCUUCCUGGAGAUUGUCUCUCACCCACUCCCUUUGCAUUUCAACCAAGAGCUUUCAUGUUUACCCAACCGGACACCUUUAAAUUCCUGUGUCUACCUUGCGCACAAAGUGUCAUUCAGUGGGCUUCACAGGUCUAUAAUUUUCUGCUAGAGUUGAAAAUUCUCAUGUGGAGUUGAAACGGUUAAUUUUAUGUGUCAACUUGACUGAGUCGUAGUGCCUAGAACGUUGACCAAAUAUUAUUCUGGAUGUUUCUAUGAAGGUGUUCUCUAUAUAGUAAAAAUUAACACUUAAAUCUUAGUGGAUUUCAAUAAAGCAACUUACCCUCCAUUAUCUGGGUGGGUCUCAUCCAAUCGGUUGAAGGCUGAAGAGAAAGAAGACGGAUUGCCCUGAACAAGAAGGAAUGUGGCCAGCAGCCUGACUUGGACUUGAACCCCUUCCUGAGUCUCUAGCUGCCUGCCCUCCCUGUCCAACUUGGACUUGUCGAGCCUGC
rnacentral:lncRNA from 1 species